rnacentral:rRNA from 1 species
AUUGAACGCUGGCGGCAGGCCUAACACAUGCAAGUCGAACGAGUGGCGGACGGGUGAGUAAUGUCUGGGAAACUGCCUUAUGGAGGGGGAUAACUACUGGAACCGGUAGCUAAUACCGCAUACCAUCAAAUGUGCCCAGAUGGGAUUCGCUAGUUGGUGGUGGAACGGCUCACCAAGGCUACGCUCCCUAGCUGGUCUGAGAGGAUGACCAGCCACACUGGAACUGAGACACGGUCCAGACUCCUACGGGAGGCAGCAGUGGGGAAUAUUGCGCAAUGGGCGAAAGCCUGAUGCAGCCAUGCCGCGUGAAUGAAGAAGGCCUUCGGGUUGUAAAGUACUGUCAGCGGGGAGGCGUUACCCGCAGAAGAAGCACCGGCUAACUCCGUGCCAGCAGCCGCGGUAAUAC